rnacentral:snoRNA from 7 species
CACCAUGAUGACGGAAAUUCUUCACUUUGACCUGAUGUCUGUUGAAGAAACUCAGUGUCUGAGA